AGUGAACGCUGGCGGUAGGCCUAACACAUGCAAGUCGAACGGCAGCACAGUAAGAGCUUGCUCUUACGGGUGGCGAGUGGCGGACGGGUGAGGAAUACAUCGGAAUCUACUUUUUCGUGGGGGAUAACGUAGGGAAACUUCCGCUAAUACCGCAUACGACCUACGGGUGAAAGCAGGGGAUCUUCGGACCUUGCGCGAUUGAAUGAGCCGAUGUCGGAUUAGCUAGUUGGCGGGGUAAAGGCCCACCAAGGCGACGAUCCGUAGCUGGUCUGAGAGGAUGAUCAGCCACACUGGAACUGAGACACGGUCCAGACUCCUACGGGAGGCAGCAGUAGGGAAUAUUGGACAAUGGGCGCAAGCCUGAUCCAGCCAUACCGCGUGGGUGAAGAAGGCCUUCGGGUUGUAAAGCCCUUUUGUUGGGAAAGAAAAGCAGCAGGUUAAUACCCCGCUGUUCUGACGGUACCCAAAGAAUAAGCACCGGCUAACUUCGUG
rnacentral:rRNA from 1 species